rnacentral:lncRNA from 1 species
GAGGAUUGAACCUGAUGCCUCACAUGUACUAGGUAAGCACUCUACCACUGAGCCACAACCACAGGACCUUAUUCUCAAGUUUUGAUGACCUGGCUGUGAAUUUAGUCCAUGGGCAUGAGAUCCCCUUCCAGGUAUCUUGCCUAGAUCAUCAAAGACCAUGGCCUCCCUGGUUCCACCAGAUCCUGUGAGGCAAAGUUAUUACUUUUUCAAAAGAGUUGAAGCCAACUCCUCCACACUUAGCACUGAAGGGAAAAUCUCUUUGUGGAGAGGGGUGAUUGAGAAUUCUCCCUCUGGAUUUCUCAUCAUCCCUACCCUUCAUCAUACACACAGGGAAGCUGAGACCAGGCUGGAUUCUUCAGACCAGCCUUUAUCACAGAUUGGGAGAAAAAAAGAAAGAUACAGAGAAUAACAGGACCCUAUAAAUUCUCACUUACAAGAUAUGACUUGCUCAUGAGGGCUCAGCUCUGUCCAGUAUGCGGUGGUCAGUGCCAUCCCGGCAGCCCUAGCCUCCAAGAAGAAACUGAGACAACUGCCUCCUUGAAAGCUCAGAUGGACCCACUUUUUUAAAAAAAAUAAAGAAGUUGACGAGGCUAGAGUCUCUCCUGUCUUGUGCCACCAUCUGAAUUUGUAUCUUGUCUGAAGAUGUGCCCUUUCCUGGGAUGUUAGAAAUAAUUGCUCCUUUUUAUGUAAAAUAAGACUUCAGAUUCAAAUAAGGUUUAGCUGGUCAGAUGGCUGUGCUGACUGCAUACAGGAAGGUGCACAUGAGUUGAAUGUCUCAGCUCGAUGCCUUAACUGUUCUUGCCAGAAGUAUGGUUUAUCUCCACACAUACACCCCCCCCCAAAAAAAAAAAAGGUUUUUCUUCAGAUACAUUCAAUUCAGAAGCCAAAUAUUUCAACAUUAUGAAAUACUCUGUGAUUUUGAUUUACAAAACACCCAUAGGUGGCAAACCAAGGGUUAUUUGCAAAAGGUACUGGUAGUACUCUUUUCAAAGAGGUCCCCAUUACUGUCCAGGGGAAGUAAAAUUCAAGGGUCUAUUAGUUUGUUGAGACUUUUUCUUCACUCAGAAGUCUAUGUAACAUAACUGUAUUUUGGUGCUGAUUUCUUCUUUAUCCUCUUCAAGAGAGACCUCACUGCAAUCCAUCAGAAUGGCCUUUGCCUGUUGAUUGCAACCAAACAAAAUGUAGCAGAGUACUACAGAACCGUGGGGUCUGAGUGAGAUGUGCUGGAAGAGUUCCCUAAUGCUGACUGUCUGCAUUCCUGGAGGUUGGAUGGCCAUCAUCCUAUGUUCCUUAUACUUACCUGUUGGAUAACCCCAGGAUUCCUGGACUUCUGACCAGCAGUGGAGACAGUGCUGCACCCUCUAGGCAUUCUGAAAAUGUAUUCAUGUUUGUUAUAUGGUUGGGGGCACUACUUGGGUGGAGGCAGAGGGGAGACAGACUUCCUGCUACAGGUGGGACAGUCUUAUACAAUGAAGAUUUGUCCUGCAUUCCAUAUGUGUUUGUAUGCCCCCCAGAUGUUCAUGUAGGUAGAAACCUCUUUAUAUUGGUCCAAACCUAGAACCUAAUUCCAUUUUGCACAAAAUACUUUUUGCACAAUUUUGAUAUGCACUGAAUUUUUCAUGAAUGCAACCAUCAUAUAAAUAGAAUACUACAUUUUGUCUACAACAGAGUUGUUCACCAUUUAAGAAAGCCACAAUACCAACAGCAAAAUGUUCAUGGUAUUUGAGUUGCUGAAACAACACAUCUUUAUUCCUCUGCCUUCAAAGAUGAAUAGUGAUUCUACCUAUCUGUAUGAAUAUAUAGU